CAGACACCACUAUAAAUGUAGAGGAAAUAAUAAAAAUUAAUCAGUUUGAUUGCAAAACUAAACAUCGUGUAACCGUAAAAUUUAGGAUUUUGUUAAAACAAUUGUGUACCGAAUUUAUUUUAAUCAAAAUGUUUGGAAAACUGGUAUUAUUAUUUGCAAUUUUUGUAGCAAUUGCUGUGGCAAGACCGCAGUACUACCCUAAUUAUGGAUAUAAUGGAUAUGGAGCUAGCUAUCCCGGAUAUUAUGGCUACUCUGGCUACUCAAGUCCUGUGGGUUAUACGGGAUAUGGAAGUUACUCAUCACCAUACAAUUACGGAUAUGGAUAUUAUUAAUAAUAAGUACACAACUGAUCUCAAAGCAUCUCGAAGUAAUCCGUAACAACUUUAUAUGUAGAUAUCCUUAUUUUAUGUUUUGAAAUAAUUUGUCAAUGUCUAAAUAAUUGAUAACGAUUGUAACGUUAUUUUAAAGUUAUUCAAUAUACAUCUUAUAACAUAACGUGUUUCAUUUGUAAUCGUGGUCUAUACAGUAUAAAAAUGAAAACAAUUUGAGGGCUUGGGUUUAGCACAUUGCCUUAUUCCGAUAGUCACGGAUUCGAUCAAUACAAUGUGUAAUCAUGAAUACUAUACUACAGUUUAGUUAGUUUUAUUAGUUUGUAUUGUUUUUUUGAUUGGGAGAUUUCUAGAAAGAAUAACGAGAAACGUCCUCCAUUUUGUAUGUAGUUUCAAAAAUGUUAUGUUCAAAGAGAAGGCUUUAAGUUUUUAAAAACUUUCUUUUUUUUUAUAGAUGUGUCCACGCAUUUACAAAAAAGAAUUUUGUAAAUGUACCCACUGGUUAUCUUAAUUCGAUCUGGACAUAAUCAGUGGUUUCCAACUGAACGUCGAAGCCAUUUAUUUAUUAAUUGUUUAGAUAGAAACAAGAAUGAAAAAACGUCCCAAAAAAGUCAGGUAACUAUCAAUUUAGCUGACAUGUUUUUUUUAAAUGGCGUACCAAACGUUAUUAAAAAUAUGUGUGGUGGCUUUGUACUAUAGGUACUCUGUACAAUUCCUGGUGUAUACGAAGUUCAGUAUAGCAAUUGAAUUAUAAAUAUGAAGGAAUAUUUGUCUGUCUAUUUGUUACCUGAUUGAAUUUUAAUGAAAAAUAAUAUAAAGAUAGAUAGAGUAAACAUAGACUAUUCUUUAUCUCAAAACUAAGUCGCUGCUAAGGCCUAGAAUAUUUUUUUAUACCAUAUAGAAUAUUUUUUUUUACCCAAAUAAAUAAGUGGACCUAAAUUAUAUAGUCGUAUAUUUUUUACAGUAUUAUAUUUUGAAUACAUAAUACUGUUAUCGUUAUAAAGUACUCAACUAAGGUAUUUCAUACGUACAAAAAUAAAAGAUAAAUAAAAAAACCUAUGUAAUUUGGCUGUUUUUUACCAUUUAAGGGUAAUCGACAUAGAGAAAAAAUAUAACAGUACAAGAGAUGGAUAGUCAUUCUUAAAAAUAUGCUGGUUUUAUGACUAAGAUAGAUAAUAAUAUAACUACUAAUAUUAAUAUACGUUAAUAUACCUCUACUAAGCAAUUGAUAGUAGUAGUAGUGCCUAGUUCUUACUUACGUAUUAGUACGUUAUUUAUGCAAAUAAAUAGUUUAACCGUUUUUGAUAUUAAGGCGCACAAACGCACAGACACACAGACAAGAAUAUAUACUUAUAUAAUCAAAUAUAUAUUAUUCAUACAUAAUCUUAGUUUUGGGUACUGUUACGAUGUUAAUGUUCCCUAACAAUAACUUUUUUGAUUAAUAGAUAAUAUAUGUACAAACA